AAGCCUUGGUGACAAACAACCACAAUUUGAUCCUUUCAUUUUGGAGAAAUGGCCCCUGAUUCAAGCAUAUGCUUUUGAGGACUUUGGGAGUGGAGGAUUUUUCACCAUGAAACACAAGGUUAUUGAUGUUACUGGGCAUUUGAAUUCCAUGUAUGGUUCGCUGGAUCCUGCGACUGUACAGAAUCUUAUUCA